GCCGACGUGGCGGAAUGGCAGACGCAGGGGACUUAAAAUCCCCCGGCCUUUGCGGGUCGUGCGGGUUCAAGUCCCGCCGUCGGCA
rnacentral:tRNA from 1 species